rnacentral:rRNA from 1 species
GACGAACGCUGGCGGCGUGCUUAACACAUGCAAGUCGAACGGAAAGGCCCUGCUUUUGUGGGGUGCUCGAGUGGCGAACGGGUGAGUAACACGUGAGUAACCUGCCCUUGACUUUGGGAUAACUUCAGGAAACUGGGGCUAAUACCGGAUAGGAGCUCCUGCUGCAUGGUGGGGGUUGGAAAGUUUCGGCGGUUGGGGAUGGACUCGCGGCUUAUCAGCUUGUUGGUGGGGUAGUGGAUUACCAAGGCAUUGACGGGUAGCCGGCCUGAGAGGGUGACCGGCCACAUUGGGACUGAGAUGCGGCACAGACUCCUACGGGGGGCAGCAGUGGGGAAGAUUGCACAAUGGGCGGAAGCCGGAUGCAGCAACGCCGCGUGCGGGAUGACGGCCUUCGGGUUGUAAACCGCUUGCGCCUGUGACGAAGCUUGAGUGACGGUAAUGGGUAAAGAAGCACCGGCUAACUACGUG